rnacentral:lncRNA from 1 species
GUGUUGAUAAUCUUCUCGCUUAAUAUUCUUUUCUUUUUCUUCUUCCUGCUGAAUCUCUUCAAAAAAUUAAGAACACCAAGCACUUGUUUCCAUGUUUCAAUCAUAGGAACUUUAAUCUCCAAUUUCUUGAAGAUCGCCAUCUUGAACUUAUUUCCAUUCCUAUGAUUUUUCUUUUUAUGAGGAAGAUGUUUUUCAUGUGAUCUUUUCUUCUUUCCUCUCUUCCUCUUUUUCUCAACCUUCUCCUUCUUCCACUUUCUUUUUUUCUUUUUUCUUAUUUUCUUAUUUUUUUCUUUUUUCUCAACCACUGCCUUUUCUUUCUUCUCAUCUUUCUCUCCC